GACGAACGCUGGCGGCGUGCCUAAUACAUGCAAGUAGAACGCUGAAGGAGGAGCUUGCUUCUCUGGAUGAGUUGCGAACGGGUGAGUAACGCGUAGGUAACCUGCCUGGUAGCGGGGGAUAACUAUUGGAAACGAUAGCUAAUACCGCAUAAGAGUAGAUGUUGCAUGACAUUUGCUUAAAAGGUGCAAUUGCAUCACUACCAGAUGGACCUGCGUUGUAUUAGCUAGUUGGUGGGGUAACGGCUCACCAAGGCGACGAUACAUAGCCGACCUGAGAGGGUGAUCGGCCACACUGGGACUGAGACACGGCCCAGACUCCUACGGGAGGCAACAGUAGGGAAUCUUCGGCAAUGGACGGAAGUCUGACCGAGCAACGCCGCGUGAGUGAAGAAGGGUUUCGGAUCGUAAAGCUCUGUUGUAAGAGAAGAACGAGUGUGAGAGUGGAAAGUUCACACUGUGACGGUAUCUUACCAGAAAGGGACGGCUAACUACGUG
rnacentral:rRNA from 1 species